rnacentral:rRNA from 1 species
UACGUAGGGCGCAAGCGUUGUCCGGAAUUAUUGGGCGUAAAGAGCUCGUAGGCGGCCAGUUGCGUCUGCUGUGAAAUCCCGGGGCUCAACCCCGGGCGUGCAGUGGAUACGGGCUGGCUAGAGGCAGGCAGGGGAGAACGGAAUUCCCGGUGUAGCGGUGAAAUGCGCAGAUAUCGGGAGGAACACCGGUGGCGAAGGCGGUUCUCUGGGCCUGUACUGACGCCGAGGAGCGAAAGCGUGGGGAGCGAACAGG